AGUGAAUGCUAGGGGUAUGCUUAACACAUGCAAGUUGAACGGAACAUCUGUUUAGUAGCGUACGGGUGAGUAAUAUAGGAGAACCAAGCACUAAGUUCGGAACAAGAGAUAUGUCUGUAUAAAUGCCGGAUAUUGAAAGAUUUAUCGCUUAGUGUGGGGCUCCUAUGGGAUUAGGUUGUUGGUUGUGUAAUGGACAACCAAGCCAGGGAUCCCUAGUUGGUCUGAGAGGAUGAUCAGCCACACUGGGACUGAAACAAGGCCCAGACUUCCAUGGAGGGCAGCAGUGAGGAGUAUUGGACAAUGGGCGCAAGCUUGAUCCAGCAAUACCUAUUGGGUGAUGACAGGAACACUGUAAAACCUAUGAGAUAAGGAAAAUUAUGACUGUACUUAAUUUUUAGUCUCUGGCUAACUUCGUGCCAGCAGCCGCGGUAAAGUAGUGACUGU
rnacentral:rRNA from 1 species